ensembl:lncRNA
GGAGGAUCGGCAUGUUACCAAUCUCCCCGGAAGAUAUCUAGCAGAUAAGAGCAGACAACACCUGGCGACACUGCAGCCUCAAUCAACUAUCCGAGGAGUGUAACAGCGAGGUCUAUUUAUAUGGGAUGGCGCAAAAGAUUUUUGAGACCUUCUGGAUCUGGCCCCAGAUCAUCCACGACACCCAUGUGACUGAGAGACUAGCAUGUGGGUUGGCAAAAAACACAAAUCGCACAUCUCCAGCUCUUACAUCCAUAGCUCAGGCAAUGGCCGCCCUUGAUUCAGGACUAACCCAGACUAAGAUGGCGAUUGACCUCCUUCUAGCUCCCACCGGCCUAGGCUGUGCAGAAAUGGAAGAGCAGCUGGGAAUGGAAGGCUUUUGCUGUCUUGACUUCAGCGCCAACGCUAUAACUGCUAUCGACAAAGUAAGAAAGGAGGCCAAAGACAUUGCCAAAUCGGUACUAAAGAUUGGAAUAGUUCUGCUUCAUGAAACUGAAUUUCUGGACUUGUAACAUGCUUCAUACUGUGGAUUCCAAAAAACUUUAACAGAAUUUGAAAAGAUAGAAUCAAUAUUGGGAUACUGGUGACUGACUGAAUAGACUGUAUUCUGUUCACACAGUACUAUGUACAUUUUGCCUUUACACUAGACGUUUAAUUUUAUGAAUUAAAAGUCAUGAGUUUAGCAAAGAAAUCUAG